rnacentral:tRNA from 1 species
UCCCUGGUGGUCCAGCGGUUAAGAUUCUGAGCUCCCAAUACAGGGAGCCUGGGUUUGAUUCCUGGUCAGAGAA